AAGCGUAAUAGCUCACUGGUCGAGCGAUUUUGCGCCGAUAAUAUAACGGGGCUCAAGUCACUUACCGAAGCUGCGGAUUUACGAUCGGCUACGGCCGGUCGCGAGUGGUAGAGGAGCGUUGAGUAUAGUUUGAAGCGGGAUCGUAAGGGCCCGUUGACGGUACUCAAGUGACCCUGCCGGCAUAAGUAGCGAUAACGGAGGUGAGAACCCUCCGCGCCGAAAGUCUAAGGUUUCCUGAGAAAGGUUAAUCCGCUCAGGGUUAGUCGGUCCCUAAGGCGAGGCCGAAAGGCGUAGCUGAUGGACAGCCGGUUAAUAUUCCGGCACUACGGCGGAGACGUUAUUACGAUGCGGGGACGCAGGAGGAUAGUGGAGUCGGCCUGAUGGCUCAGGCAACGUGCGCAUCGAGGAGGACCUGGCAGGCAAAUCCACCGGGUCGGUUCAAAGCCAACUCUGAGGUGUGUGCCGAAACUGCCCUUCGGGGUGGAUAAGUCCAUGAUUUCACGCUGCCAAGAAAAUCCGCUAAGGAGUCUCCGACGGAGCCGUACCUCAAACCGACACAGGUAGACGAGGUGAAUAUCCAAAGGCGCUUGAGAGAACACUCGCUCAGGAACUAGGCAAAUUAGCACCGUAACUUCGGGAGAAGGUGUGCCCCGCUAGGGUUCAUAGCCCGAGGGGGCCGCAGUGAAAGGCGCUCUGCGACUGUUUAACAAAAACACAGGUCUCUGCUAAGUCGAAAACGACGUAUAGGGGCUGACGCCUGCCCGGUGCCGGAAGGUUAAAGGGAGAGGUCAUCCUUCAGUAAUGAGGGGGCAGCUUCGAUCUGAAGCCCCGGUGAACGGCGGCCGUAACUAUAACGGUCCUAAGGUUAGACUCGCUAGCCUUAGUAAAACUGAACUAUAUGCGGGAAACUCCUCUUACAGCCGUCUGGUACUCGUCGUUCCCGAGUUCUUAGGGGACGGCAGUCAAAAUCCAGCGGACACGGGGACAAUCCGCAGGGAAGGCUCCAAAAAAUGGAGAACCCUCAGAGACUUCACGUUCAGUCUCGACCCCAAAAACUGGAAGCGCAAUGGGUGGUCGGAUUCGUGGACGGCGAAGGCUGUUUCUUCGUCGGAAUCAAUCGCCACCUGGACAUGACCUGCCGGUUCCAAGUCCUUCCUGAAUUCACAGUGGUACAACACCAGCGAGACAUCCAGUUGCUCUUCGCACUCAAAGAAUUUUUCGGGUGCGGCGUGGUUCGCAGGAACCGCGAAGACCGGAUGGCUUACCGGGUGCGCAGCCUGGACCAUCUGAACCAACGGAUCGUUCCCUUCUUCGAUCAGCACCCGCUGAAAUCCAAGAAGCGGAUUGACUUCGCGAAGUUCAGAAGAGUCCUGCAACUGAUGAGUCGGGGAGAACACUUGAAGCCAGAGGGAAUCCAGCAGAUUCAAGCCAUUGCGUCCAAAAUGAACCGGGGUCGGGAAAGAUAAAGUCCGGCUCCAUCGGAAACGAUGUGGGAUGAACCGAGCGAAAUUCCUUGUCGGGCAAGUUCCGACCUGCACGAAUGGCGUAACGAUAGAGCGACUGUCGUGGCGAGUGACUCAGCGAACUUGUAGUGCCGGUGAAGAUGCCGGCUACCCGCACCUAGACGGAAAGACCCCGUGCACCUUUACUAUACCCUAGCCCUGAGCUACGGGCUUGUCUGCGCAGGAUAGGUGGGAGGCUUUGAACCUGGGUUCUCGGACCCGGGGGAGCCGACGGUGAGAUACCACCCUGAUGAUUCUGUGGCUCUAACUUCGACCCGUAAUCCGGGUCAGGGACACGGCUAGGCGGGUAGUUUGACUGGGGCGGUCGCCUCCUAAAAGGUAACGGAGGCGCCCCAAGGUUGGCUCAGGCUGUUUGGAAAUCAGCCGUCGAGUGCAAGGGCAUAAGCCAGCCUGACUGCGAGACCUACUAGUCGAGCAGAGACGAAAGUCGGGCCUAGUGAUCCGGUGGUUCUGUAUGGAAGGGCCAUCGCUCAACGGAUAAAAGGUACGCCGGGGAUAACAGGCUGAUCGGAGCCAAGAGUUCACAUCGACGCUCCGGUUUGGCACCUCGAUGUCGGCUCAUCGCAUCCUGGAGCUGUAGAAGGUUCCAAGGGUUGGGCUGUUCGCCCAUUAAAGCGGUACGUGAGCUGGGUUCAGAACGUCGCGAGACAGUUCGGUCCCUAUCUGGUGUGGGCGCAGGAGAUUUGAGGGGGGUUGUCCUUAGUACGAGAGGACCGGGAUGAACAGACCUCUUGUGUACCAGCUGUCUAAACCAUGGCACGGCUGGGUAGCGAAGUCUGGAAGUGAUAAACGCUGAAAGCAUCUAAGCGUGAAGCACGCCCCAAGAUCAUAUCUCCCAAGGAUGAAAGGCGGUUUCGCUAACCGUCGAGAUUCCUCUGAAGGGCCGCGGAAGACUACCGCGUAUAUAGGUCGGACGUGGACGCAGGGUAACCUGUGGAGCUUACCGAUCCUAAUGCCCAUUCGGCUUGACCAU
rnacentral:rRNA from 1 species